GUGAAUCAUCGAAUUUUUGAACGCAAAUUGCACUCCCUGGUAUUCCGGGGAGUAUGCCUGUUUGAGGGUCGUUAGAAUAAAAAAUCGAUGCGUCGCUCUUUUUUUUAAGGGUGAUCGCGUCGGAAUUGAGCCGUCUUUCAAAUGUUAAUUCAUGUCAAAGUGGCUUGAAAUUCAUCCAUCCGGUACGAUUGAAGCGUAUUUAAGAUCAAUUUUGAUUGAGAACGCGCGAUGACGUCCCACCCCUUUAGGUAGUUUUGACUGGGGCAACCGG
rnacentral:misc_RNA from 1 species